rnacentral:rRNA from 1 species
UACGUAGGGAGCAAGCGUUGUCCGGAAUCAUUGGGCGUAAAGCGCGCGUAGGCGGCCCUGUAAGUCCGUUGUGAAAGUCAAAGGCUCAACCUUUGAAAGCCGAUGGAUACUGCAAGGGCUAGAGUCCGGAAGAGGCGAGUGGAAUUCCUGGUGUAAGCGGUGGAAUGCGCAGAUAGUCAGGAGGAACACCAAUAGCAAGGCAGACUCGCUGGACGGUAGCUGCGCUAAGGGCGCGAAACGAUGGGAGCGUAACGAGGA